UACGUAGGUGGCAAGCGUUGUCCGGAAUUAUUGGGCGUAAAGAGCUCGUAGGCGGUCUGUCGCGUCUGCUGUGAAAACUCGGGGCUUAACCCCGGGCCUGCAGUGGGUACGGGCAGACUAGAGUGCGGUAGGGGAGACUGGAAUUCCUGGUGUAGCGGUGAAAUGCGCAGAUAUCAGGAGGAACACCGGUGGCGAAGGCGGGUCUCUGGGCCGUAACUGACGCUGAGGAGCGAAAGCAUGGGGAGCGAACAGG
rnacentral:rRNA from 1 species